GAUGAACGCUGGCGGCGUGCCUAAUACAUGCAAGUCGAGCGAACAGACGAGGAGCUUGCUCCUCUGACGUUAGCGGCGGACGGGUGAGUAACACGUGGAUAACCUACCUAUAAGACUGGGAUAACUUCGGGAAACCGGAGCUAAUACCGGAUAAUAUAUUGAACCGCAUGGUUCAAUAGUGAAAGACGGUUUUGCUGUCACUUAUAGAUGGAUCCGCGCCGCAUUAGCUAGUUGGUAAGGUAACGGCUUACCAAGGCAACGAUGCGUAGCCGACCUGAGAGGGUGAUCGCCCACACUGGAACUGAGACACGGUCCAGCCUCCUCCGGGAGGCAGCAGUAGGGUAUCUUCCGCAAUGGGCGAAAGCUUGACGGAGCAACGCCGCGUGAGUGAUGAAGGUCUUCGGAUCGUAAAACUCUGUUAUUAGGGAAGAACAAAUGUGUAAGUAACUAUGCACGUCUUGACGGUACCUAAUCAGACAGCCACGGCUAACUACGUG
rnacentral:rRNA from 1 species